UGGGGAAUAUUGCACAAUGGAGGGAACUCUGAUGCAGCGACGCCGCGUGAACGAAGAAGGCUUUCGAGUCGUAAAGUUCUUUUAUAUGGGAAGAUAAUGACGGUACCAUAAGAAAAAGCCCCGGCUAACUACGUGCCAGCAGCCGCGGUAAUACGUAGGGGGCUAGCGUUGUCCGGAAUCACUGGGCGUAAAGGGUUCGCAGGCGGAAAUGCAAGUCAGGUGUAAAAGGCAGUAGCUUAACUACUGUAAGCAUUUGAAACUGCAUAUCUUGAGAAGAGUAGAGGUAAGUGGAAUUUUUAGUGUAGCGGUGGAAUGCGUAGAUAUUAAAAAGAAUACCGGUGGCGAAGGCGGCUUACUGGGCUCAUUCUGACGCUGAGGAACGAAAGCGUGGGUAGCAAACAGG
rnacentral:rRNA from 1 species